AGAGUAAGAUUGAUUGACACAAAAGUCUUUUUUUUUUCUCUCCAGGAAGACCAUUAAUGAUGCAAAAUCCAAAAGCUAUCAAUCAACGAGAAGCUUCCCAUGAAAUGACCUAUCUAUUGCAGCAACAGAGUACUGUUGAAGCAACACUGGACAGGGAGCAGAUGCCUACUACUCUUUCUACUAAGGAAGAUUUCUUCAGUGAGAAUGCCAGAGGCCACACCAUAGAGAUGAAUGACAGAUUUAAAAUAAAAGAGCAAUAACUCAUCACAGCCAAGGCGGUGUCAAAACAGCCAUAGUGUUCCUGCAGUACUGGCCCUCAGGGUGUUGUAGAGUCGUGAGGAGGAAGCUGAGGAACUGGCAGUCAGUCGUAGAAAAGCAACACCCACAGGUAAAACAAGAAAAAAUAAAAACAAAGCACAUAGAGAUGAAAACAUAUUCUGGAUUUCCUUUUCCAGGAACUCUUUCUUGGUAUGCUGGGUCAAUUCUAAAUCCUCACCAAGGUGGCUGCUUUUAGUAUGACAGACCAGUGCACAGCCAACCAGUUCUUCCACCAAGAAAAACUGAAAAAAGUGAACAGUUAGAUUAAUACCAUUUUUUCUCUCUUCUCUUUUCUCCCCUCACCUGUGAAGAUGUCAUUGAGAUUGUAAACUACUGAGGACAUCAGGGUCAGGUUGCUGGAAAGAGAGGUAAAGUAAGUGAGUAAAGAGUGAAGUCUUCUCCACUGCUUUUCCCAAGACAUUGGUCAAUUUCUAACUGAUGGCCAAGAGAUAAAAAUCUGACAGAGGUUUAUCUGUUUUGUGGGUUUUGGAAGACAAAAAAUGAAUUUCAGAAAUCACAAUUCAAGACUUCAGUUGGGACUACUGAAGACUGACUCCUUCAUAGUAAUCCAGAAACAGAACAGCCCACACCGACACAAAAUUCAGCUUCUUAAGUAGCUCAGUUUCAGCCCUGGUUAAGUUGAAUUUUCUUUUUCUUUCAUUUUUUUGGGGGGGGUACCGAGGAUUGAACUCGGGUCCUUGCGCUUGUAAGGCAGGCUGCUGUACCGCUGAGCUAAAUCCCCAGCCCACGUUGAAUUUUCUUUACCCUGACUGCUUAUAAGAGAAGAAUUGGUGGUGCAACAUUAAUUAUUAUUGAAUUACAAAUUCAUGACAGUAUAGGAAACAAGAAAAAGUGACUAAUAAGAAAAAAAAUACUAAAAAUUUCUAUAUAUUGGAGUUGUCAGAUACUUACCUUGUGUGAGCUUCUUAGUUUUCUGGCCUCUCAGUCUGUCCAAGAUCUCUGAGGUGAGGGGACAGUAUACAUAAUUAUGCAUGCUUCUUGAAGAGAAUUCUUCUUCUACCUCCUUCAGUCAUUUGAUACAUCUUAAUAGUGCUUCUAAGCAAAUAGCUACUUCUAUAGACUAAAACAGAUGAUGUAAAUUUCAGAUUAAGAAAGAAAAAUUUGUAAAAUGGCAAUAUGAAAGAGCAAUAUGUGGGGGAUAGGAAAGGCACUUUGGGGAUUCCAUUACAGCUUAAUGUAAAUACCUACUGAACAGACUACAUGGAUGGUAAAUUGCUAUCAAACAUAAUUUAGCACUGGCCUGUCUGAUUUUUGUUUCUGUUUGAUCUUCAGACUGUGUCUGCUCUCAAGUCUGAGGCUUUCUUCUGUAUUUUAUGCAGUUCUAUUGCUUUAAAACACUGAUAAGCUCUGAAGUGAUUUCCUUGAAGCAGCUGUAAAUCUAUUAGGUCUGCCACAGCCAAUCUCAGCUCCACUAGGGCACGAGUGCUGGCAUAAGAAAUGCAGAUUACUUUUCCUUAGCUGUGCUUAGAUGAAGACAGAUCUUGCUCAAGAAAUUUAGAGAUCUGAAAAGAUGAAAAGCACAGGAAUCUUGGAUUUUUUUUUAGAGAAAGAAGACAUAGCAUAAAAUAAUAUUUCUAGAUAUAGUAAAGGAAGACAGGAGACCUGCGUGUGUGUGUGUGUGUGUGUGUUUGUGUUAUAGUAUCAAAAUGUAUAAAAAGUAAAAGGGAAAAUAAGAAAUUCAGUUUGAAGAUUGAAUGGUCAGACCCAAUAGAGCUACUGUUCUGUCAGUGUUGACAUUAUAAAUCCCCAUCUCUGAGUGUUUAUAAAAUCCAGUUAGACCUGAAACAAAAUACCCUAGAAUCUAGCCAGCAAGUAAUUUCAAAAAAAUUGUAUAAUAUACCUCAAUCACUUCUAACUCUAGGCUUUGCAAAUUGUUCCACCAUCAAACUGCCUGAAUGUGCCUGAC
rnacentral:lncRNA from 1 species